rnacentral:rRNA from 1 species
UGGGGAAUUUUGGACAAUGGGCGAAAGCCUGAUCCAGCAAUGCCGCGUGUGUGAAGAAGGCCUUCGGGUUGUAAAGCACUUUUGCCCGGAAAGAAAUCCUUGGCUCUAAUACAGUCGGGGGAUGACGGUACCGGAAGAAUAAGCACCGGCUAACUACGUGCCAGCAGCCGCGGUAAUACGUAGGGUGCAAGCGUUAAUCGGAAUUACUGGGCGUAAAGCGUGCGCAGGCGGUUUGCUAAGACCGAUGUGAAAUCCCCGGGCUCAACCUGGGAACUGCAUUGGUGACUGGCAGGCUAGAGUAUGGCAGAGGGGGGUAGAAUUCCACGUGUAGCAGUGAAAUGCGUAGAGAUGUGGAGGAAUACCGAUGGCGAAGGCAGCCCCCUGGGCCAAUACUGACGCUCAUGCACGAAAGCGUGGGGAGCAAACAGGAUUAGAUACCCUGGUAGUCCACGCCCUAAACGAUGUCAACUAGUUGUUGGGGACUUCAUUUUCCUUAGUAACGUAGCUAACGCGUGAAGUUGACCGCCUGGGGAGUACGGUCGCAAGAUUAAAACUUAAAUGAAUUGACGGGGUCAUAGCUG